rnacentral:rRNA from 1 species
GACGAACGCUGGCGGCGUGCCUAAUACAUGCAAGUCGAACGCUUCUUUCCUCCCGAGUGCUUGCACUCAAUUGGAAAGAGGAGUGGCGGACGGGUGAGUAACACGUGGGUAACCUACCCAUCAGAGGGGGAUAACACUUGGAAACAGGUGCUAAUACCGCAUAACAGUUUAUGCCGCAUGGCAUAAGAGUGAAAGGCGCUUUCGGGUGUCGCUGAUGGAUGGACCCGCGGUGCAUUAGCUAGUUGGUGAGGUAACGGCUCACCAAGGCCACGAUGCAUAGCCGACCUGAGGGGGUGAUCGGCCACACUGGAACUGAGACACGGCCCAGACGCCUACGGGAGGCAGCAGUAGGGAAUCUUCGGCAAUGGACGAAAGUCUGACCGAGCAACGCCGCGUGAGUGAAGAAGGUGUUCGGAUCGUAAAACUCUGUUGUUAGAGAAGAACAAGGACGUUAGUAACUGAACGUCCCCUGACGGUAUCUAACCAGAAAGCCACGGCUAACUACGUG